UUUACUCCUCCACCCCUAAUGUCCCUCUUAUCCUCUCCUGUCAUAAAUAUCCUACACCAUAGCCACCAAAGAGGGAGGGAUACAUUCACUAUCAAUACAUAGAUACACAAGAAAUAAGUCGAUGAUCAUUUUAUUUCUCCAUAAAACAAGAAUAAACAAAACAACCAUCAUUGUGGACAGUAGCCCCAUGGGAACCAUCUUCAAACCUCACCUAUAUUCCAAGUAAUUACCAUUUUGACAAGGUCUCUAACUCAAUGUUUCGGUCAAGGCAUUUUAAGUUUAUAAUUUUGGAGGUGUUGAUGUCGAGUUCCUUGACAUAAAGGGAUUAUCAGUUAAUGCUUGAACCGCGACGAGUGGAGGAGUCAACGUGCGAAGGAGCUCAAAUGGAGUCGUCACCCCACCCCAUCAGGGAUCCGGUACAUUUUGGGAUAUGAUGACAAAGAUAUGCUAUAUCUGACUUCUUGUAUGAAGCGUAUAUGUAGCUUUAUUAAAAAUAAAGCACCUCGUUACUCCCUUCUUUUCUUAUUUCAUAUGUCACUAUUUUAAACGUCUCAAAGACAUGACAACCUUUACUACUAUAUUACAACAACAUGCUUUGAUACAAUUUUUAUAUUAUAUCCACGUAUUAUUUA